rnacentral:rRNA from 1 species
UGGGGAAUAUUGCACAAUGGACGGAAGUCUGAUGCAGCAACGCCGCGUGCGGGAUGACGGCCUUCGGGUUGUAAACCGCUUUUUCUCAUGACGAAGUUUUUUGACGGUAGUGGGGGAAGAAGCACCGGCUAACUACGUGCCAGCAGCCGCGGUGAUACGUAGGGUGCGAGCGUUGUCCGGAAUUAUUGGGCGUAAAGAGCUUGUAGGCGGUUUGUCGCGUCGAUAGUGCAAACUCAGUGCUUAACGCUGAGCCUGCUGUUGAUACGGGCAGACUAGAGGAAGGUAGGGGAGAAUGGAAUUCCCGGUGGAGCGGUGGAAUGCGCCGAUAUCGGGAGGAACACCGGUGGCGAAGGCGGUUCUCUGGGCCUUUCCUGACGCUGAGAAGCGAAAGCGUGGGGAGCGAACAGG